GAUGAACGCUGGCGGCGUGCCUAAUACAUGCAAGUCGAGCGAACGGACGAGAAGCUUGCUUCUCUGAUGUUAGCGGCGGACGGGUGAGUAACACGUGGAUAACCUACCUAUAAGACUGGGAUAACUUCGGGAAACCGUAGCUAAUACCGGAUAAUAUUUUGAACCGCAUGGUUCAAAAGUGAAAGACGGUCUUGCUGUCACUUAUAGAUGUAUCCGCGCUGCAUUAGCUAGUUGGUAAGGUAACGGCUUACCAAGGCAACGAUGCAUAGCCGACCUGAGAGGGUGAUCGGCCACACUGGAACUGAGACACGGUCCAGACUCCUACGGGAGGCAGCAGUAGGGAAUCUUCCGCAAUGGGCGAAAGCCUGACGGAGCAACGCCGCGUGAGUGAUGAAGGUCUUCGGAUCGUAAAACUCUGUUAUUAGGGAAGAACAAAUGUGUAAGUAACUGUGCACAUCUUGACGGUACCUAAUAAGAAAGCCACGGCUAACUACGUG
rnacentral:rRNA from 1 species